rnacentral:lncRNA from 1 species
GUGUGUGUGUGUGUGUGUGUAUAUAUAUAUAUAUAUAUUUUUUUUUUUUUUUUUUUUUUUUUUGUAGAGAUGGAGCUUCACCAUGUUGGCCAGGCUGCUCUCGAAUUCCUGACCUCAGGUGAUCCACCCGUCUUGGCCUCCCAAAGUGCUGGGAUUACAGGUAUGGGCCACUGUGCCCUGCCUGCUGAGAAUUGCUGAAUCUCCAUAGUUGUCUUGCAUUUUGCAUAGGCCAUAGCAGGUGUGGUACCCAAGUGGUUUCUUCUGUUAUCUGCAUCUCCAUUGCUUCAAGCUGUUUGCUCUUGUGUUCAUUCUCCCCAUCUGCCCAGAGUUCCCAAUUGUCCCCUAAUGCUGAAGGAACAUGUACAGGAAGGGCACAUUCUUUUUCGGGGAAAUUGAGGUUAGAACAGGGAAGGAAGUGACCCUGUUCUUUUUCUCCUCUUUUGAACAGGGGCUUCUCUGUAGUAGCACUCUGGAUUCCGAACUCCUGGGUUCUCUCUUUCUUUUGACCAACUUGGUCUGCGACUUUAGAAAAGCUAUGCCACGUUCUCUGUGCUUCAGUUCUACCUCUUGCUCAAAGAAAGUUGUAAUCAUAACACAUGGGAUUUGAAACUGUGGUCAAGAAUUUUCAGACUAGCUCUCCAAUAAGAGAAACUUCAAAUAUCAAACCCCAGGGCAGCUCGUUUUCAUCAGGGUCUUUUAAAUGACUGACUGAUUCUUGGACCAGUCCACUGAUACAUUCAUUCAACAAAUAUUUAUCGGGCCCCUCCUGUGUGCUAGAUAUCGUUCUAAAUGCUUAGAACACAGCUGUAAUUAAAUU